CGAGUAGGCGGCUUCCUAAGUCAGACGUGAAAUCCCUCGGCUUAACCUGGGAACUGCGUCUGAUACUGGGAGGCUAGAGUAUGGGAGAGGGAGGUAGAAUUCCAGGUGUAGCGGUGAAAUGCGUAGAUAUCUGGAGGAAUACCGGUGGCGAAGGCGGCCUCCUGGACCAUAACUGACGCUGAUCCGCGAAAGCUAGGGGAGCAAACG
rnacentral:rRNA from 1 species